ACAGAGGACUGACAGCUCAAUUAUUUUAAGUAAAGCAGAGAAAUGUAAAAGUUUGCAGCAACUGGGCAGGUUUACAACAUGGUUAGUAACUUCCAACAAACAACAAAAUUAAAAAAAAAAAAAAAAAAGACUUGGUAGAAACCAUUUGAAAUGACUGCCAUCAUGUUGGAAAACAGCACAGCUCCCUUUUCACCAUUAUAGAGGGGUUAAAUUCCAAAGCUGAGUCAGCUACUUCAAAAGAAUUUUCUAAAGAGAAAUCUCCAGAGAGAUUCCAACUUGGAAUGCAAAUUUGACGAUCAAUUUCAAAUAACAAUACAGCUGCAGCUGCCAAUUAAUAGUAUUCCAGAAACAAAAAGGACUAUUGUAAAUAUUUAAUUAAUAAAAACUGGACACUACCAGCCAUGCUUUUUCUUCUCAGUGAUGGCUCCGUUUCAUCCAUAGGUCAGCAAAAUGAAUCAAUGAAACAUGAAAACUCCCAGCUGCAAUGGGCCCUCUUGUUUAUGUCUAGCCACUAAUGCACAGGAUGAGAAUGAUAAGUUCACAGCUAUUUCUAGCAAGUGAUGAGGUUUUAUUAAAGUAUCACCCACCACUAAUAAAGACUAAAGGUCAAGGAGCAGAAGUAACAAGCCAUUUCGUAAUAAAUACACAUCUGAGAAGUGACACUGACGUUUGUUUUAAAUUGCCCAUCUCGUUCUCAUUUAGUGGUCCUAGAGAAAUCUGGUACAUAAAUUUGCAGUAUUUCAUGAGGCCCAUUCUCACUGAUGGGCACUGUUCAGCUCUGAGAAGCAGAACUGAAAAGGGAAGCUAAUUCGUACUCAAAACGGACAUUUUUAAGACACAGCGACUUAGAAAUAUCCACAAGGGACCACACCGGUGCCUUCAUGGGGCAGCACUCAACAAGAACUGGGACAAUCGAAGAGCAAGUUUUUAUGGGGACCCUGUUGCUGCUUUAGAUUCUGAUGUAAUUGAAGAGGAAAAGAGACCUUUCAAUGAAUCCCAGAAAAAUCGCUAAUCUUCUAUCUGCAUGAAAAAAGCCAGGGAAGUGAACACAAUAUCUUACAGAGUGAAGAAGGCCACAAGAACAAGAGAGGGUGAUUGAUCGAUUAAUUUAUUCUCUUUUAAAACUUGGAAAUUAGGAAACUAAAAUAAUCACAUUCCUCCUUCCCCAUCUCUGGGUAGUGCCAUCAUCUGAAUAAGCAAUGCUCAGAUAACAGAAUGUACCUUUAUCAUGGGGAGGCCCUUGGACAGCAGUACAAAGGGCUUACAAAGUGAGCAGACUGGCUCAAGCUAACAAUUGCCUUUGCUUUGUUUUAGCAGUUUCCUUACAAAUGAAUGGGUUUCGAGGGCUAAGUUAUUAUUAGUUUUCAAUUCCUUGUAAUUUGAUACCAAAACAUAUCAAAAAUAAUAAGCUAAAACAAUAUUCAAACCCAUAUUUUAUUGGCUUUAAUUACACACUUCAGUAUUUACAAAGUUAAAGUUUAAAUGAAAAGUCUCUAUUGUACUGUAUUAAAAAAAAUAACUACAGCCCAAAUUCAAGUGCCCUGGGGCAAAUACAUAUCAAUCAGAGCUAAGAAUCAGUGACUGCGUCAGGAACCAGGCAGUACUCUGUGUUACAACAAAGCAGUUUAUUUGUGAUCAGUGUUUGAGACUCUAUACAUCCUUCACAAAUUUAAUUUUACAUAAUCUGAUACUCCUCUUAAAACUUAAACUUUGAACUGCUAGACUUAUUUCCCUAGAACAGAAGGGCUGGUAUAAGUUAUUUUCCGGAAAUGAGGUACCGUUUCACAGAACUAGUUUCUUUUUUGUUUUCAAGUUUUAGAGAACUAAAUUUGCAUUUGUUAAAAUCAAAAAGUAGGAAAGAUGUUCUUUACAAAUAAUUUUGAUCAAGUAUGUGUUCAAAGAAAGCAGGAUAAAAAGGCUUUUUUCUCUAACAUUCUGUAUUGUACUGUAUUUGUUGUUCAAUAGGAAUUAGCUUCUGUCAUUUGCUAAAAGAAUGAGUAGUGGGGAACAGGAUAUGUUGGGAAUUUCAUAACGGGUAACAGAACCAUUCUCUUGGGUAAACCUACAGAGAAAAGAAACGGAGAGGACUCCAAAUAAGUUUAAUAAUCCAAUAAAAAUUUCAGGUUAAAAAAUAUCUUACAGUAAUUAUCGUUAACCUUUUCCAGAUUAGUCAGUCAACAUGAACCAUCUGGGAGGAGACCCACAAACCUCUCAACAGAUCUCCUGUUUUGAAAUUGCUCCUAAUAUUGUGAUCGUUAGUUAUUUUCCACUCAAAAUUAAGAGGGCUACAUCCUAGGAAGAAUGAUAUUCAGAAGGCAAUUUCAUUUGAGUGAGCAGCCAUGAGUUCCAAAGAUCAAAAGCAGUGCUACUGAUUAAUAUUCCAGAGGGACUCCAGAAAUCCAGAAUCGUUUUCAAUUUGGCACAUCACAUAUUACAGGAGAAACAGGGAUGGCUGUCAGUCAAGACCCAAAGCACAGCUUUCCGUGCAGGCCUCCGCUCCCCAGAGAGACCGCUCCACCUGGAGUCACGACCAGGUACUUACUUUCUUAAUGGCUACUGCCGAUAUUGGCGUGGCAAAUCUGGAAAGAUUAACUACUUUCUUAAUUUUGUAAUGAACGAGUUCUUGUGGCCUCACAAACUUCUGCAUACUCAAGCAUGAUUUGAAAUCUGCUAUUUCUAGUCUAAUAUUUAACCUAUGGUGAAAUCACAAAGCAGCAACAGCAGGUAUUCAAGAGCACCAGAUGAUCAGAGGGAAAUUACCCCACAUGCAACAGCUUUACAAAGGCCAAAAGACAUAUUUACCUUACAGCCAAAAUAAAGCAUUGUUUUAGUAGGUUGGCAUCACAGUAACAUUUAAAAACCAAAUCUUUUAUGUGAAAAAUGGGGGCAUCAAAUUUCACCAGCUUUGGAAGUCAGUUAUAUGGCACAUGGAAGAGAGGAGCCUUCUGAAGUGGGGCUCAGAGGCCACAGGGUGAAAGUAUAAUGUUAGAGGAAAGGGAGGAACAAGAGAGAAAAAUUAAAGACUGAGGAAAAACAGGAAUGCAGCUUAAAGCCUAGACAAACCAGUGUUUCAAGGAGAAAAAUUAAGCUCUAGCAAACCUGUACUGAAGAACGUGAGACUUCACUUUGUCUAAAAGAAAGACACAGACUUAACAACCCACCCCAGCAGGCGGGUGCUCUGCCGCUCACGCAAGCCAUAGCACGAUGGAGCAGUGAGUCAAGAUGCAUUUGGAUAAACUGCCCAGACCUAAUUCACAGGAGGGAUGAGGUGGCCAGGAUACCCACAAGGUGGCUGAAUGGGAAAAGCAAAUGGCCAAAACCACAAGGAACUAGAGAAUUUGAAUUUAGAAGCAAUUCUGGGUGAAAACAUUUUCUUGAAUAAGUUCUCACUUCCCAAUCACCCCACAUCAGGGACGUGGGGAAUCUGGGGAAGCCCUGACCAUACUGGAGUGUUCCAGAGGAAACAUUCCGGUAGAGGAGGAAACCCCAGACUGGGCACUUUGCUGUAGAGAAAACUCACCCCAAACAUUUGACACUUGCAGCUUCUCCACAUCUUUCCAGGAUAGAAAUAGUCUAUCUUAAAGGGGAAAGUCGUAAAACUGUUCAUUUUCUACUUAUUUUUUACAGUUAGGACAUCAGAUGAAGCUUCAAUUUAGCAGUGUCGUAAGGACCCAUAAUUUUCAUCUGAACAAAGAUGGAAAAGCUGACGCAUGAAGAGAGAAAGCAUAAUGAAGGGUCCUGAGACUCGUGUGGAGGGCUGACGCCACAAGCAGUGGGACAGUCCACGUCCUUCCCUGCUGUGCGCGUGCACAUCCAGCCUGAGGUCGCACCAACACGUGCUCACGCGUGCACGCACACACGCUCGCGCCACGCUCUCUCACGCGCACGCACACCCGUGCUCUCUUCUUCUCGCGGUGGCAGACAUCCUGCAGAUGGCGGACCCACAACAUGUAGCGCCUCAGGGAAAAGGUCUAAGAGGGCAUAUCACUGACUCCAAACCUACUGCCUCCAUUGCCACAUAAACCUCAUUCAAAAGUUAUCCAAAGGGCCACUGAGUUUCAUUUCUGCAUUUACUUUUAUUUUACUUUCUUAUUUUUGGAGGGAGAGGAGACAAUCCUAUGAUUCUGUAACACGUACCACAGACUGUCUGCAGUCAGCACUUCAGUAACGCUGCUGGUGAGAGCCCACUGCCACGCUGGGGCUCAUUUACGCCACCUCUAAAGCAAAGUUUGCGGAAAAGGACGAUAGCCACAAAUUUGAAGUGAACAUUUCCUAACCCUAACUCAAGUCACCCACACGGUUUCAAGCCAGAAACUUCAAUGCAGCCAUGUAACCGGCGAGCAGUCAAGCCAGAAACCGGGUUUGGCCCUUCAGUAGCCUUUGAAUGGAGUAUAAGUUGGCUGUAAGAAGAACUACUUAAAAUAUUUAAUUUCCAUAUGGUCAGAAACAGGCAAUUAGAACAGGCAGUCCUUCAAUCAGGCAAAGCGGAGAGAAGAGCAACUCCAACCAAACCAAGAACCACAAGGUUGUGGCAUUUUCAAAGGGAAUUUAAGUUGGGUCACUAGAAUGAAUACGUCUGAGAUCCUCCAAUUCAUUGAAAGAAACCCUGGAUACAAACUGUGCUCUAGAUUGCUGUGACAGCACUGCUAAGAGGAGAAAUCAGAAACAUGGCAUACAUACCAUAGGCAGGGGCAGCGGUGCUGUAACCAUACGGUGCUCCGUAGCCUGGUACAAAGAGAAGAAAGCAGAUCAGUCCAGAGCAAAGGGCACUCAACCGGUCCUGGCCCAGUUCACAAGGACUGCCUGGCCCGGCAUCUUGGGGCCUGAGGACUUCUAGAUGCUGGAUGAACGAGAGCCAUUCCCACAGUGGCCACACCCUCCGUUCCUGCUUACCGUGAAAGAUUUCUCGCACGACCUACAAGGUUCUCCUAACCCACCAGAAUAGUCUUUCUCCUUGCACUUACCACGCUGUGUUACAAUUAUCGACUCCGUGUCUGUGUCCCCCACUAGGGUGACAGACACCAAGUCUGACACCUUUGCAUCACCACAACUUGGCAGAAGGUCUGUCACAUAAUAACCACUCCCGACAUAUACUUUGUUGAACAAAGAACACGGAGAAUCACUCAAAUUACUAAUUUCUUUAAAGUUGGAAAACAGAACUUUCCAGGUUUCUUCAGAAGGCAGUGCCACAACAGGCUAAAGCCUCAACUGGUGCUAAAAAUGGGCAUGUGGAUCAGGUUGUGAGCUUGGGGACAAGGUCCAUGUCUCCUGAUAAUCUGAAUUCCUGGCCCCAGCACAGAGGCUCUCAGUAAAUGUUGGCAAAACUAACAUUAGCAUCUGGUGCCUAUGGAAAAGGCUCACACUGUCAAUAAAAACCAGUCUAAAGAACA